UGUUCAUGUGUUUAUGAGUGCACACGUGCGUGUGUGGAUGAGACACACACACACACACACACACACACACACACACACACACACAGA
rnacentral:miRNA from 1 species